CUCCUACGGGAGGCAGCAGUGGGGAAUAUUGGACAAUGGGCGAAAGCCUGAUCCAGCCAUGCCGCGUGUGUGAAGAAGGUCUUCGGAUUGUAAAGCACUUUAAGUUGGGAGGAAGGGUAGUAGCCUAAUACGUUGCUACUUUGACGUUACCGACAGAAUAAGCACCGGCUAACUUCGUGCCAGCAGCCGCGGUAAUACGAAGGGUGCAAGCGUUAAUCGGAAUUACUGGGCGUAAAGCGCGCGUAGGUGGUUCAGUAAGUUGGAAGUGAAAUCCCCGGGCUCAACCUGGGAACUGCUUUCAAAACUGCUGAGCUAGAGUACGGUAGAGGGUGGUGGAAUUUCCUGUGUAGCGGUGAAAUGCGUAGAUAUAGGAAGGAACACCAGUGGCGAAGGCGACCACCUGGACUGAUACUGACACUGAGGUGCGAAAGCGUGGGGAGCAAACAGGAU
rnacentral:rRNA from 1 species